rnacentral:rRNA from 1 species
GGCCUGAGAGGGUGACCGGCCACACUGGGACUGAGACACGGCCCAGACUCCUACGGGAGGCAGCAGUGGGGAAUAUUGCACAAUGGGCGAAAGCCUGAUGCAGCAACGCCGCGUGAGGGAUGACGGCCUUCGGGUUGUAAACCUCUUUUAGCAGGGAAGAAGCGAAAGUGACGGUACCUGCAGAAAAAGCGCCGGCUAACUACGUGCCAGCAGCCGCGGUAAUACGUAGGGCGCAAGCGUUAUCCGGAAUUAUUGGGCGUAAAGAGCUCGUAGGCGGUAUGUCGCGUCUGCUGUGAAAUCCCGAGGCUCAAACUCGGGCCUGCAGUGGGUACGGGCAGACUAGAGUGCGGUAGG